UUAAGCGACUAAGCGUACACGGUGGAUGCCCUGGCAGUCAGAGGCGAUGAAGGACGUGCUAAUCUGCGAUAAGCGUCGGUAAGGUGAUAUGAACCGUUAUAACCGGCGAUUUCCGAAUGGGGAAACCCAGUGUGUUUCGACACACUAUCAUUACGUGAAUACAUAGCGUAAUGAAGCGAACCGGGGGAACUGAAACAUCUAAGUACCCCGAGGAAAAGAAAUCAACCGAGAUUCCCCCAGUAGCGGCGAGCGAACGGGGAGCAGCCCAGAGUCUGAAUCAGCUUGUGUGUUAGUGGAACGGUCUGGAAAGUCCGACGGUACAGGGUGAUAGUCCCGUACACCAAAAUGCACAGGUUGUGAACUCGAAGAGUAGGGCGGGACACGUGGUAUCCUGUCUGAAUAUGGGGGGACCAUCCUCCAAGGCUAAAUACUCCUGACUGACCGAUAGUGAACCAGUACCGUGAGGGAAAGGCGAAAAGAACCCCGGCGAGGGGAGUGAAAAAGAACCUGAAACCGUGUACGUACAAGCAGUGGGAGCCUACUUGUUAGGUGACUGCGUACCUUUUGUAUAAUGGGUCAGCGACUUAUAUUCUGUAGCAAGGUUAACCGUAUAGGGGAGCCGAAGGGAAACCGAGUCUUAACUGGGCGUUAAGUUGCAGGGUAUAGACCCGAAACCCGGUGAUCUAGCCAUGGGCAGGUUGAAGGUUGGGUAACACUAACUGGAGGACCGAACCGACUAAUGUUGAAAAAUUAGCGGAUGACUUGUGGCUGGGGGUGAAAGGCCAAUCAAACCGGGAGAUAGCUGGUUCUCCCCGAAAGCUAUUUAGGUAGCGCCUCGUGAAUUCAUCUUCGGGGGUAGAGCACUGUUUCGGCUAGGGGGUCAUCCCGACUUACCAACCCGAUGCAAACUGCGAAUACCGAAGAAUGUUAUCACGGGAGACACACGGCGGGUGCUAACGUCCGUCGUGAAGAGGGAAACAACCCAGACCGCCAGCUAAGGUCCCAAAGUCAUGGUUAAGUGGGAAACGAUGUGGGAAGGCACAGACAGCCAGGAUGUUGGCUUAGAAGCAGCCAUCAUUUAAAGAAAGCGUAAUAGCUCACUGGUCGAGUCGGCCUGCGCGGAAGAUGUAACGGGGCUAAACCAUGCACCGAAGCUGCGGCAGCGACACUAUGUGUUGUUGGGUAGGGGAGCGUUCUGUAAGCCGUUGAAGGUGGCCUGUGAGGGUUGCUGGAGGUAUCAGAAGUGCGAAUGCUGACAUAAGUAACGAUAAUGCGGGUGAAAAACCCGCACGCCGGAAGACCAAGGGUUCCUGUCCAACGUUAAUCGGGGCAGGGUGAGUCGACCCCUAAGGCGAGGCCGAAAGGCGUAGUCGAUGGGAAACAGGUUAAUAUUCCUGUACUUGGUGUUACUGCGAAGGGGGGACGGAGAAGGCUAUGUUAGCCGGGCGACGGUUGUCCCGGUUUAAGCAUGUAGGCGGAGGUUCCAGGUAAAUCCGGUACCUUUUUAACGCUGAGGUGUGAUGACGAGGCACUACGGUGCUGAAGUAACAAAUGCCCUGCUUCCAGGAAAAGCCUCUAAGCAUCAGGUAACACGAAAUCGUACCCCAAACCGACACAGGUGGUCAGGUAGAGAAUACCAAGGCGCUUGAGAGAACUCGGGUGAAGGAACUAGGCAAAAUGGUGCCGUAACUUCGGGAGAAGGCACGCUGAUAUGUAGGUGAAGUGAUUUACUCAUGGAGCUGAAAUCAGUCGAAGAUACCAGCUGGCUGCAACUGUUUAUUAAAAACACAGCACUGUGCAAACACGAAAGUGGACGUAUACGGUGUGACGCCUGCCGGUGCCGGAAGGUUAAUUGAUGGGGUUAUCCGUAAGGAGAAGCUCUUGAUCGAAGCCCCGGUAAACGGCGGCCGUAACUAUAACGGUCCUAAGGUAGCGAAAUUCCUUGUCGGGUAAGUUCCGACCUGCACGAAUGGCGUAAUGAUGGCCAGGCUGUCUCCACCCGAGACUCAGUGAAAUUGAACUCGCUGUGAAGAUGCAGUGUACCCGCGGCAAGACGGAAAGACCCCGUGAACCUUUACUAUAGCUUGACACUGAACACUGGUCCUUGAUGUGUAGGAUAGGUGGGAGGCUUUGAAGUGUGGACGCCAGUCUGCAUGGAGCCAUCCUUGAAAUACCACCCUUUAAUGGCUGGUGUUCUAACGUGGACCCGUUACCCGGGUUGCGGACAGUGUCUGGUGGGUAGUUUGACUGGGGCGGUCUCCUCCUAAAGAGUAACGGAGGAGCACGAAGGUUAGCUAAUCCUGGUCGGACAUCAGGAGGUUAGUGCAAAGGCAUAAGCUAGCUUGACUGCGAGAGUGACGGCUCGAGCAGGUGCGAAAGCAGGUCUUAGUGAUCCGGUGGUUCUGAAUGGAAGGGCCAUCGCUCAACGGAUAAAAGGUACUCCGGGGAUAACAGGCUGAUACCGCCCAAGAGUUCAUAUCGACGGCGGUGUUUGGCACCUCGAUGUCGGCUCAUCACAUCCUGGGGCUGAAGUAGGUCCCAAGGGUAUGGCUGUUCGCCAUUUAAAGUGGUACGCGAGCUGGGUUUAGAACGUCGUGAGACAGUUCGGUCCCUAUCUGCCGUGGGCGCUGGAGAAUUGAGGGGGGCUGCUCCUAGUACGAGAGGACCGGAGUGGACGCAUCACUGGUGUUCGGGUUGUCAUGCCAAUGGCAUUGCCCGGUAGCUAAAUGCGGAAGAGAUAAGUGCUGAAAGCAUCUAAGCACGAAACUUGCCCCGAGAUGAGUUCUCCCUGAGACUAUAAGUCUCCUGAAGGAACGUUAAAGACGAUGACGUUGAUAGGUCGGGUGUGUAAGUGUAGCGAUACAUUGAGCUAACCGAUACUAAUGAACCGUGAGGCUUAACCUU
rnacentral:rRNA from 1 species